GAUGAAGAACGUAGCGAAAUGCGAUAAGUAAUGCGGAUUGCAGAAUCCGUGAGUCAUCGAAUCUUUGAACGCACAUUGCGCCCUUUGGUAUUCCGAAGGGCAUGCCUGUUCGAGCGUCAUUAUCACCACUCAAGCCCGGCUUGCUGUUGGUGGCAGCGCAGCCGGUCAACCGGCUACGCUCCACCCAAAGAUAAUGACGGCGUCUGCGAGGACUCCUGUACAUUGAGCUUUCGGGCACGUACAUGGCUAGAAGUCCAGGCGCCGGUCGACGUCCUCCGGGACACUUUUUACCAAGGUUGACCUCGGAUCAGGUAGGGAUACCCGCUGAACUUAAGCAUAUCAAUAAGCGGAGGA
rnacentral:misc_RNA from 1 species